rnacentral:rRNA from 1 species
UACGUAGGGGGCAAGCGUUGUCCGGAUUCAUUGGGCGUAAAGAGCUCGUAGGCGGCUUGGCAAGUCGGGUGUGAAAACUCCAGGCUCAACCUGGAGACGCCACCCGAUACUGCCAUGGCUUGAGUCCGGUAGGGGACCACGGAAUUCCUGGUGUAGCGGUGAAAUGCGCAGAUAUCAGGUGGAACACCGGUGGCGAAGGCGGUGGUCUGGGCCGGCACUGACGCUGAGGAGCGAAAGCGUGGGGAGCGAACAGG